rnacentral:sRNA from 1 species
AUAAGAAUACUCACCGUGGUCACUUUCCAGGUCCAGUAGCGGUAGCCAUGAUUCGCCAUUAUCCUGGGAAGCAAUCAGUGAAAGCGGAUAGCGCUUUCCCCAGUUGCCGU